UACGUAGGGUGCAAGCGUUGUCCGGAAUUAUUGGGCGUAAAGGGCUCGUAGGCGGUCCAUCACGUCGGGAGUGAAAAGCUGGGGCUUAACCGUGGAAGUGCACUCGAAACUGCGUAGCUUGAGUCCUGGAGAGGAAGGUGGAAUGCUUGGUGUAGAGGUGAAAUUCGUAGAUAUCAAGCGGAACACCGGUGGCGAAGGCGACCUUCUGGACAGUGACUGACGCUGAGACGCGAAAGCGUGGGGAGCAAACGGG
rnacentral:rRNA from 1 species